rnacentral:rRNA from 1 species
GAUGAAUGCUGGCGGCGUGCCUAACACAUGCAAGUCGAGCGAGAAUCGUUUUGCUGAAGGCUUCGGUCUGACGCAGAAUGAGGAAAGCGGCGAACGGGUGAGUAACGCGUGGGCAACCUGGCCUUAAGAAAAGGAUAGCCCCCGGAAACGGGGAGUAAUACUUUAUGAGAAUAGAAAAGGGCAUCCUAUUUCUAUUCAAAGCGCAAGCGCUUAAGGAUGGGCCCGCGUAUCAUUAGCGAGUUGGUGAGAUAACAGCCCACCAAGGCAACGAUGAUUAGCCGGUCUGAGAGGGCGACCGGCCACAUUGGAACUGAGAGACGGUCCAAACUCCUACGGGAGGCAGCAGUGGGGAAUAUUGCGCAAUGGAGAAGAACUCUGACGCAGCAAUACCGCGUGAGCGAAGAAGGUCUUCGGAUCGUAAAGCUCUGUUAUCAGGGAAGAAGAAAAUGACGGUACCUGAUGAGCAAGUCCCGGCUAACUACGUGCCAGCCGCCGCAGUAA